UGGUUUUUGAUUAAUUUUUACCCCAAUUCACAAUUUAAAACAAAAGCCUCAAGCUGAAAAUCAAAAGAUCUCCAUUCUCUCUCCAAAGCCUCCAUUAUUGAACUUGGAAGCUCCAAAAAAAGAAGGUCAAUUUUCAAAGGUUUCAAUAAAAAAUAUUUGGAUAGGACUUCAAAAAAGUGUGGUAAUUUCAUGCGUGAUUGUUCUAUCAUACAAGGAGCCAAUUCAAAGGACUUUCUCAAGAUCUCAAAUAUCCUAAAAUUAUGAUUUAAAAUUCUAAACACAGUUUCUUGAAUUCAAAAGAUUUAAAUUGAUUAUAUAUGAUGUAUUCAAUUUUAAUUUAUGGUUUGAUAGUAAAAAAUUUCACGAACCCAUGAUCAUCCUAAUUCCCUAAUUUUUUUAUGAUAAACUAGGUUUGAUAAUUGUGAUUUACUAUUGAUGGAAUUGUAUUUAGAUUGCUUUAUGUUAUUGAUUCUUAUUCUUAUCUAUCUUUAAAUAUAUUGAAUUCAGAUUGUAAGGUUGAGUUGUGGUCUAUCCUUAUUGGAAUGGUAAUGGGUAAGUCCUAUUGUUGUGUUGAAAUUGUUUGAGAUUUUAAGGGAUGGUGAUUUUGGCUAUUGAUGGUGCUAAGUCAAUCUAAUUCCCAUUUUUAAUGUAGAAAUUAUUUCGAAUUACUAUUGAUUGGUAUUUUACACUUAUGGUGAUGGUGCGUACUUGUUAUAAUUGUUAUGAACAUAGACUUGUCGGUAUUAUUAUGUGAGUUGUGGUAUGAUCAUUUUAUGGCUUAUAUAAAUGUAAAAUGUGAAGGAUGAUAUAGUACAUGUGACUUUAUGAGGUGAACGAAUUAUAUGAUACAUGUCUGCUCUUGAUUAUAUCUUGUAUAUAGCUAUGACAUAUUGUGAAUGAAAGCGUGUUUACUCUAAAUGUGGCUAUGUGAUGAUGAUACUCUAUGAAGAGUUCUAUAUAUAUAUAUGGUGUCUUGUUUAGAAGACCUAGUUGUCCCUACUUGAUUCAUGAAAGUUACGUGAAUAUGAUCUCAAGAAUUGGUAGGCUUAGGCACCCUUGUCAUGAAUGUGUGAAUUAAUGAAAGUCUAGGAUCGAUAAAUCUAAAGUAGGUACCCUUCUGUGAAAGAAUAAUAUGGAACAUUGAAUAAGAAAAGAAGGUUAGUAAAGAAUACUUGAACUUGUAGACAUUAAUGGUUGCCCUUCUGAGUGAAAUGAUAGACUUAGAGGUAGGUAUGCUGGAACGACAAGAAUCAAUCUCUAAGAUAUUCAUCAGAGCUAUAUUAAUUAUAUACCCCUUUUGGAUGUGGUAUUAUGAGUUCGCAGGAAUUAGAAAUUGUACCUUCUCGAAGACUAUUAUAUGAAUGAACUUACCCUAUGAGAAACAAGGAAAAUAACUGAGUGGAUAUACUUAUGGUAGUUACUCUACUUGAAAUAUGAGACUAGAGUAGAAGGAAGCUGUUGAUAUCUCUAACCCAUGUGCAUAUAUAGGAUGUGUCUUUAGUUCUACCUUUGGAAAGUAUAACAAUUUUAAUGGUGUGGUGUCUCGUAUUAUCGGAUGACAUUCCAAGCUACUAUGGUCUAUCUCUAUUUGCCUAUUCUCAUUGUGGGAUGAACACUCUAGUUAUUGGAUAUGUUCUACAAUGUGAAGGUAGUUGAAUGGUACAUUAUCUACACAUGACACGAGUAGGCUUUGAAGAUUGUAAAGUGAGUUCCCUAGGUCUUCCAAUACCAUUAUGUGAAGUCCCUUAAUUUCAAUAAUGUAUCUUUUAGGAUCUUUAGUAAUGAAUGUUGACUUGUUGUGGCUGUGUUGAAAAGGAAAUAUUAUUAUCUUUUGCAGUGUUAAAGAACACUUGUGUGUGUAUUGAAGAGGUUAUAUGGGCGGUCUAUUUAUGUCUCACAUAGGUGGGUCUUAGGAUAACCAUACGUAGAGGGUUUAAAUUUCUUAAUAGGAUACAUAAUGCCUAUGGUCCUAUCUUGCAUAUUAUGUGAGUAUUAUCUUAUAUGGUUGAUCAUGGACUUGUAUGAUAUCUUUAGCUCUUUGCUUUAUUAGUAUUUUACAAAAGUAGCAUGAAAAUAAUAUUUCAACUAAGAUGUCUCUUUUUACAUAGUUUUCUUUCAUGUUCAGAAUACUUAGUGUAUUAAUUGUACUGAUUCCAUUUUCUUCUUUGUGCCUAUAAGUGUAGGUUGUUGCAAGGGAAGAAUUCUAAUAGUUGAAGAUUGGGUCUUGAAGGGAUUGACUUACUUUGAAAGUAGAGUCUCCAAGGCUUUCAAGCAGUGAAGAUUGUCGAAUCCAAUGUAGGGUCUUUAAAAGAUUCUUUGAAUGUUAGAGUUUCCAAGGCUUUCAAGAAGUGAAGAUUUGUGAGUCCUCAUAACAUCCGAGGACAUCACUCCUAUAUUGUCGUUUAUAUUCUUUUCUAUGUAAAAAUUGAUAGGUCAUGAUCCAAGACUAAUGUACUCAUGAUGUCAUAGAUUGUUUUUGAGACAUAUGCUAGAAUUUUUAU